AGCCCCACGUGGGGCUCGAACUCACGGACCGCGAGAUCGUGACCUGGCUGAAGUCAGACGCUUAACCGACUGCGCCACCCAGGCGCCCCUAUACUCAUUUUUAAAAAUCAGUAAUCAGCUGAAUGAGGUCUGCUGUUCCUUUUUGCGAAGAUGAUGAAACAUAACCCAGAAUCUGAAUGAAAAAUUUUAUUCGGACCUAUUUCGGGAAAAGCUUUAAUUUACGUGAGGAAAUUUGCCUUUUUCUUAUGGAUAAUGCGGAUAAUUUAUUGAUUGCCUUCCAUUUCUGAGAAAAAUCUCAAAUUAGGCUUACUUUUAAUCGAAUGUAGGACUAAUCGCCUGCCAUGUCACUCUUGAUCCAGAUUUUCUAGAUUCUGACCUUAGUGUUUUUCCUUGUGUUCGUAUAAAGUUCCUCACAUCUCUUCUGUAUAUAAGGCUAAACAGUAAUACUUUUUUUUUAAAGUUAAAGAAUUGCUUCAUUUCAAUAUGUGAAGAUAAGCCCCAAUGAGAACUUUUUGGGGUGAGGUCCCAGUGAAAUGGAUGCUUCUGCGAUUGGAAUUCCUGAGGAGUGGCAGGUCUUGAGCUUACAUCUGGGUUUAGAUCUGCUGGUCUACCUGGAAGUUUGGAGUUUGAGUGAAAGCUACCAUCUCAUCCUCAUGUUUCCAUAACUCUUUUAGCAAGAGAAUUCAGAAACUAAGUUACAGAAUUAAAAGGAACCUAAGGGGUGUGAUAUGGUCCAGAACCCUGAUGUCAAGUAAACGGAUGAUUAUUCUUCCAGAUAUGCUCUUCCCAUAAAUUGUUGAAGAAUGAAAAUUGCCAUUUCAGUAUUUUAACAAUCUGUGGGUCAUUAAAUUAUUCUUUAUUUUUACUACAUUUAGUUUCUUUGUUGAAAUAGAGAACAGUUGUGGUAGGCAUCUCUUUAAACAUCCUUGAUCUAUUUGAGUACUAGCUCUUACUCUAGUUUCUUGGUAAUAUAACCUUUAGUUUUCUCUCUCAAAAUCUAUUUUCCAUUCUUACAAAUGCUUUUGCGAUCCAUCUUUGUACUUUGUUGAGUUUAUCUUUAUUUCUCUAAGAAUUGUAAGGUGUAGUAGAAGGAUUAAUUUAUUAUUGUCAUCAUUUUUACUUGCCUGUCAUCCCUUCGAGGGCAGUACAUUUUAGCCCCUUGUCUGGCAUGUAGAAUAUAUUCAAUAAAUGUUUACUGAAUGAA